CGUUGAUGUAAAAAAACCCUCGUCGCCGUCUGAGACGCUCAGAAAAGGUGGUUCAGGUUAUUGAUUUGCGGACGAUUUCCUCGUUUAUCCCCACGUGCAGCAGCUGGAGCCCCUCGGGAUUAAGGGCCCGCGCGGCCGCUUAUUUGACCUUCAGCUUGACCUUGGCGUCGCCUCGCGUGUGCCGCUCCAUCUUUUGGCUCCUCUCAGAUGCAGUUGGAUUUAAUGGAGCGCUUGUCUCCGCGAUGCGGAGUUGUAAUUAACUAUCUGAAAGCGCUCCAUAAUCACAUCAGCUGGCAUGAUUUGUUGUGAGUCCUCCUCAAUGUGAAAUUAUGCUAAUGAGCAGUUUUUUUUAUUUUAUUGUCUUUGGCGGUUAGGGUUAGGGUCUGGCGUUUGUGCGAGUGGUUCGGUGGGAAAAACAGCUUUGUGAUUUACUUGCUGAAUGUGUUAACAAAAUGACUGAAUAUCAGUAGAAUAAUUGAAGCGUCUCCAUGGGGACUAAAAAUUGGAGCAAGGCCUCAAACAUUUUUUAGGCAUCAGCUCCUGUUGAGGGAGCACAGCAGGGGGUGUGGGACCAAUUACGGUUUGUACUAAAGGAUCGUUGUGGCUGUUUGAAAGGGACCAGACGGCGAAGGAGCCCGAGUGACGGGGGAAAUGAGUCUGCAUUUUGCAUCGUGGUCUUCGGCGCUGCCUGUUCUGCCAACAGGUGGCAGUGUUAGAGAGCCUGGCUAACACCCGGCUCAUCAGGAGGCUCCUCACAAAUAAGGGAUUUGACACAGUCUCAUUUCACACAGGAUUUAGUCAAGGCAGUUACUUUUUUCCUGCACAGGUUCAGAAGAAUAUGAAUAAAUUAUAAUGUGCAUCAUUUAAGGAUAAUAAUUACAAUUCACACCCACAAAUCACUUGAGUUUGUUGAUGUUGCACACCUAAUCCUAAGGUGCUAUGAUGUCAGCCGGCGUUGCCAUGGCGACCGCCCUGUUACUCGUGGUCCGCCAGCCGCCUCUCGUCCUCGUCCAGCCCUCCCUCUCCAGUUCCUCCGUUUCUUUCAUUUCCCGAGCUCCGCUCAUCAAAAGACCGGCCAGCAGAGCGAGUGGACGACAGCGCGGCGGCAACACGGGUUUAUUUGUCAUUAGAGGUCAUUACACCGACUUCUUCCUCUGUUUGUGAUAAACCAACGUAAAAGUGGCCGUCGCCUUAAAGUGUGGCUGACCCACAGGACGCCAUAUUCCCAUCAUGACAGAAGUUCCCCACUCGGCGGCUGCAGGGACCCCAGCGAGCCUCCGGACCGCCAGCCCCCCGUGGGGGGAGCUGCACAUGCAGGCGCACAGCGUCCUGGUGGUGGUCGUCUUCUGCGUGGUCUGCCUCCUCCUCCUGGUGGCCUUCCUCUACGCCGCCUGCAUCCACUGCUCCACCGCCUCCGCAGCCAAAGACACGGGCGCUGGGCGCAGCCUGGAGCCGGAGGAUGCCACGUAUCGCGGCAGCUCGUCGGAAAACCCAUCAGUGCGGAACACGGUCUGACACAAAGACUGACGGCCGACUGUUUCUGUGUUAACAAUGUCUACGCUGAAGUGGCGUCUGGUGUGUGUGUGGCAGGAAGGAACUACAGCUGACUGGUCCAAAGGUGCCAGCAGAGGGUUCAGGUUUGAUUUAAUGGGGAUAAAUACUCUCACACACACACACACACACACACACACACACACACACACACACACACACACACACACACACACACACACACACACACACACACUCCUUAUUUCAAACAUGACACACAACUAUGUCCUAAGUGUGAAAUAUAUGCAAAUGAGUGUGAACAACUGAUUUUGAGUGACAAGACAGACAAUAACAGAUGACUCAGCAGUUGUCUCUCUUUAUUUCCACCGAGCCGACAAGUGUUCGCAUUGUGCUGUGCACCGGGCUGAUGCCGAACAAUGAACUCAGACGUGCGACAUGAAGGAGCAGGACAGAGGAGCACAGUGUCCCGGGCGAAGCAAGGAGUCGCUGGGUCCUCGUCCUUCUCUGUCCUCUGUCCUCUGCAGGGGGUCUCGCUUUCAAGAAGAAACAAAACCAGAGACUGAUGCUGGGACAUCAAAAUGGCUGAUGAGGCAGAAAGAGCGACAGACAUCUGCUCAUAAUUCCUCUGAUGGAGGGGAUUAAAAUGGCAGGUGGCAGAUUUUCAACAGACAAAGUUCCCUGAUGAAAAAUGAUUCACUUUUACCUCCUUGAGAUUGGCACCUGUAAUCAGCUGCUCGGAAACCUCCGAGACCUCAGGGAGUCAUCCUGGCGGCGUUAUCGCUACAUGUGCCGCCUCAAAGUCAGAGCCACUGAUAAACUAGACUGGCAAACCAACAAGCAAGCUGCAAUUAUCUACUCCGAAUACUAAGUGUGCUGACUCCCCAGAGCCACAACACUGCAGCGUAUUAUUACAUAUAUUUUCUCUUAGAUCCAGAAAUGUGUUUUCCAUCUGAUGCUAAUGCCCCAAAUCCUCCAUUAACGCAGAUUACAGCCUGAGUCUUGGGUCUUAUGUAGGUUCUGCACCAUUUGAAGAUAACAUGGAUUUUAAGCGACGUGGCGCAGUUUAUACUUUUAAGCAUCUUACGCAUUUGCUGCUUUUAAUUGAGCUCCGCUGCUUAACUCAAAAGUUCAGCGUUGAACAGAAGAGAGCCGAGGAUGAUUCAUAUGUUCGACGGCAAAUUACAAAUAAUUGCAUGUUGUCAUAAUGUGCGCAUGAAUGCAGCGUGGUGGGAGUCGUUGCCAUGGUGACUGCUUUGACCUCUGACUUUGAUAGUAAUGAUGUCCCUUCGAGGCGUAUCAGGCUCAGAGGUGGCGCUGCAGAGCCGGCUUCUCCUUUCUGCCGUCACUUUGAACUUAUUUUUCUUCCCGCGUGUUCAUUCGUUAUUUCAUCCACCUUUCAGAUAACAGAUAAUGUUCAAACGCUACUUCAAAGAGCAGUUGAAGCUGAAAUGUUCUUUUUCAGACCGGUAUAUGUUCAAUAAAAGGUGGAUAGGACAAAACCAGAGCCUUUGAACACUUUGGAAUUUAUUUUAUUUCUGCAAAAUUACAUAAAAUAGGACACAACUUUAAAUCCAAUCACACGAACAAAUGAAUUGCACAAAACAUUGUAAAAUGAUUCAUUUGAAGAGGAAGUUAACAUCAGUAAAUAAAAUGAGAAUCAGGUGUG